rnacentral:lncRNA from 1 species
AGAAUAUCACUUCAGAGAAGCUGGUGAGCUUCAGUACACGUCGUCUUGACGUUUGACUUCACAACACCAGUCACUCAUAGAUCAAUUUCUCACAUGAUGGUAGAGAAAGCAAAUGAGCUGCUUAUUGGAACUGCUUCGGCCCAUAUAUUGUAGAGAAGAAGCAGGGAUCACAGAUUUCAAGUACCUCCUGUUCAUAGCGAAAGCAAGCCGAUUCACUACAUAAUGUGAUAACACUUUCUCGCAACUCAAUAGUUCUUUUUGGCUGAUGCCUCCCCUACCUCUGCUUCCCAGUACUUCUCUCGAGUUCUAUAUCGCAAAUCUACAAACUUAGAGUGGUGGGACUGCCAUCAAUGUGCUUCUACACUGGAGCUAACCAAAGGUUUUCUUUUCCUUCUUCUUUAAUCUCUCUGCUCCCGUCUUCUUUUAACUAUUAAUCUGGUUUUUGCUGUUGCCUUCUUUAUGAAAACUGUAUACAUUAUGGUUAUGGUGCGUUUGAUGGUAGUUAGAGUUAGAUGCAUGCUCAGUAGGGUAAUAAUUACAAGGUAAAUGGUUAGAGUUAUGAGCUGCUAAAUCUCACGUUUUCAAAUGUUCAUUGAGUCUCAGUUACUUUGGCAAGACACCAAAAGGGGAGCUUCUUCCUCUUCUUAACGAGGUUAGGGCCAUAGCAAACAACUCUGCUCAACUUUGAUACUACAUAUUUAAACUUUGAUCCUCUUAGUUUGAUAAAUCCUGGUCGCUGAGCUCGAUGUCUAUGCUUUGUGUACUUCUUUUCCUUUCGUUUUGCUAUUGGUCAAAGGCUUCUUAGUUCUUUGGCAGGUGAAAGAAUUUCAGGUGAUGCAUCAAGUGGGUUUGGAUGUAUAAUAUUAGGAUAGCUGGAUACCUAGGGAAGGGAUUGAUACAAUACUCCAAACUCUCUAUGCUGCUUCUGCAGGUUCUUUUCAGAGAUGCUGAAAACACUUUAAGAGGCAGUAAAACACUUCAGCCUAACUUUUGGUGUGGCUAGCAGCCAGGCUAAGUUGUGUGUCGUCGGAUCCAAACGAAGAAAGUUUGAGAGAACUAGAGGAAGGAGGAACAAAAGAGGAUUUGGAGUUCUGGUUGGUUUUUGGAUUUCUGAAAUGUAUAGUGUUUGUUGAUGGACAUUAAU